UACGUAGGCAGCAAGCGUUGUUCGGAGUUACUGGGCGUAAAGGGUGUGUAGGCGGUCUACUAAGUCUGGUGUGAAAUCUCCCGGCUCAACUGGGAGGGUGCGCCGGAAACUGGAAGGCUAGAGUGCGGGAUGGGAGAGUGGAAUUCCUGGUGUAGCGGUGAAAUGCGUAGAUAUCAGGAGGAACACCUGUGGUGUAGACGGCUCUCUGGACCGCAACUGACGCUGAGACACGAAAGCGUGGGUAGCAAACAGG
rnacentral:rRNA from 1 species